rnacentral:rRNA from 1 species
UUUCCAGAGAUGGAUUGGUGCCUUCGGGAACUCUGAGACAGGUGCUGCAUGGCUGUCGUCAGCUCGUGUUGUGAAAUGUUGGGGUUAAGUCCCGCAACGAGCGCAACCCUUAUCCUUUGUUGCCAGCGGUUAGGCCGGGAACUCAAAGGAGACUGCCAGUGAUAAACUGGAGGAAGGUGGGGAUGACGUCAAGUCAUCAUGGCCCUUACGAGUAGGGCUACACACGUGCUACAAUGGCGCAUACAAAGAGAAGCGACCUCGCGAGAGCAAGCGGACCUCAUAAAGUGCGUCGUAGUCCGGAUUGGAGUCUGCAACUCGACUCCAUGAAGUCGGAAUCGCUAGUAAUCGUGGAUCAGAAUGCCACGGUGAAUACGUUCCCGGGCCUUGUACACACCGCCCGUCACACCAUGGGAGUGGGUUGCAAAAGAAGUAGGUAGCUUAACCUUCGGGAGGGCGCUUACCACUUUGUGAUUCAUGACUGGGGUGAAGUCGUAACAAGGUAAGCGUAGUGCU